rnacentral:tRNA from 1 species
UUAAAUAAAUUUGUAUUUAAAAAUAUAUUUUUAAUUUUAUAAGGUAUAUUGAAAAAAUAUUAUUAAUAUUUGAGUUUGAUCUUAUGAGUACAUUAUUAUUUAUAUUUGAAAAUAGUAAUAUUUGUAUUAUGUAUUAUUAAGUAUAUUUAUUAAUAUAAAAAUCUAAUUGAUAUUUUGAUAAAAAUUAUUUUAAUUGUUUUAAUAAAAGAUUAUAAGAUUUUAUUUUUAGUUUAAAUAGUUAAA